rnacentral:rRNA from 1 species
GCCUAACACAUGCAAGUCGAACGGAACUAUUUGACUGAUUCCUUCGGGAUGAAGAAUUUUAGUUAGUGGCGGACGGGUGAGUAACGCGUGAGUAACCUGCCUCUGAGAGGGGAAUAACGUUCUGAAAAGAACGCUAAUACCGCAUAACACAUAUUUGCCGCAUGACAGAUAUGUCAAAGAUUUUAUCGCUCGGAGAUGGACUCGCGUCCGAUUAGUUAGUUGGUGAGGUAACGGCUCACCAAGACCGCGAUCGGUAGCCGGACUGAGAGGUUGAACGGCCACAUUGGGACUGAGACACGGCCCAGACUCCUACGGGAGGCAGCAGUGGGGGAUAUUGCGCAAUGGGGGCAACCCUGACGCCAGCAACGCCGCGUGAAGGAUGAAGGUUUUCGGAUUGUAAACUUCUUUUAUCAGGGACGAACUCUGACGGUACCUGAUGAAUAAGCUCCGGCUAACUACGUGCCAGCAGCCGC